rnacentral:rRNA from 1 species
AAACCGCUUAGGGGUUAAGCCUGAUGAACCCGAAUAUUUGAAAUGAGAAAUUCAUUAUUUUUUAGUAGUUUCAUUUGAAACGAACAAUGAUAUGCACUUUUCUCAGUGUAAAACAUUGCGAUCUAUUUGUAUAUCCGUAUGGAUGGUUUAUCAAAUGGCCCGUAUGGUUUGUUCAUUCCUAUCUGUGGCAUUUCAUGUCAUAUGGUUGAUGCCAUAGCGGUGACCUGGUAAACAGCAGAUAGUUUUUAAAAAUCAUGCAAGCACAUUUAUGUGUACCACGGUUUAUGUACUUCUUGUGCGUAGAUGCAGUGAUAGCAUGUAUUUGAUUAGCAAUGCGAUAGAUUGGGGAUACCUUCAGGACCCGUCUUGAAACACGGACCAAGAAGUCUAACAUGUGUGCGAGUCAUUGGGUAUUUUGUUGAAACCUAAGGGCGCAAUUAAAAUAACUAUUUUAUGGGAUUACAAGUGAAUUUCAUUUCAUUUCUUCAUCCCGGGGCGUUCUAUACGAACAUGGUGCAAGCAAUUGAACCCUCUGUUCAAGAGCGUACCUUGAGCAUACAUGCUGU